rnacentral:tRNA from 1 species
GGCCUCGAAGCUCAGCUGGUAGAGCGUGCUCGCACAAAGCAUAGGCGGUGUCCAUGCGUGGGUUCGAAUCCCACAGAGACCA